rnacentral:lncRNA from 1 species
CUGACCUAUCAUUUUGUAUUAGUAAUAAUACAGAAUUUUUCAAUAAAAAAUAAAUAAGAGAGCUAAGGCAUCAUUUUUUGCAGGCUCAUGUGGCUCUUUUGGUGAUUUAUAGACUAAUCAAUCAUUAAUAGAAUUAAAGGCCAUUUAUACUAAAUAAAUUGCUUAUCGCUGCAGCAAAUUGUGUUUUGAGAUUUACUGGUAAAGACUAUAAAUUGCCAGUCAUGUUAUUAGACAUAUAAAUCACACCGUUACUGAAAAUUGAUUAUCUGACUCCAAUUUUUCUGAACAUAUUGUUACUCUUGCUUAUUAUUUUUCUUACCUAGGUCAGAGAAGUUCAACGCUACAGUGAAUGAAGAAAUGUGCAAUUCUAGUAUCUAAGGCUAAUACUCUAAUGUUUUUUGUUGUUGUUUUCUUGUUUUGUUUUGAUUUCAAUAUUCUUUGAGAUGAAGAAAAUAAGAUUUUUGCUUUUACAUAAUAUUGUAGUAUUGUUUUUGUUUUUUCUAUUCACUGUCUGCUAUGGUUUGAAUAUUUGUGCCUCCCCCAAACUCAUAUAUUGAAAUCCUAACCUCCCAAUGUGAUGGUAUUAGGAGGCGGGUCCUUGGGAGAUGAUUAGCUUAGGAGAACAAGGCACUCUCUAAUAGGUUUAGUGCCUUAAAAAAGAAAAGUGCUCUCUUCUACCAUGAGAGAUUAUGGUGAAAAAACCAUCAGAAAGAAGGCCCUCCCCAGAACUCGACUGUGCUGGCAGCCUAAUCUUGGCUUUCCAACACUGAGAACUGUAUG